GAACGGGGAGCAGCCCAGAGCCUGAAUCAGUGUGUGUGUUAGUGGAAGCGUCUGGAAAGGCGCGCGAUACAGGGUGACAGCCCCGUACACAAAAAUGCACAUGCUGUGAGCUCGAUGAGUAGGGCGGGACACGUGGUAUCCUGUCUGAAUAUGGGGGGACCAUCCUCCAAGGCUAAAUACUCCUGACUGACCGAUAGUGAACCAGUACCGUGAGGGAAAGGCGAAAAGAACCCCGGCGAGGGGAGUGAAAAAGAACCUGAAACCGUGUACGUACAAGCAGUGGGAGCACGCUUAGGCGUGUGACUGCGUACCUUUUGUAUAAUGGGUCAGCGACUUAUAUUCUGUAGCAAGGUUAACCGAAUAGGGGAGCCGAAGGGAAACCGAGUCUUAACUGGGCGUUAAGUUGCAGGGUAUAGACCCGAAACCCGGUGAUCUAGCCAUGGGCAGGUUGAAGGUUGGGUAACACUAACUGGAGGACCGAACCGACUAAUGUUGAAAAAUUAGCGGAUGACUUGUGGCUGGGGGUGAAAGGCCAAUCAAACCGGGAGAUAGCUGGUUCUCCCCGAAAGCUAUUUAGGUAGCGCCUCGUGAAUUCAUCUCCGGGGGUAGAGCACUGUUUCGGCAAGGGGGUCAUCCCGACUUACCAACCCGAUGCAAACUGCGAAUACCGGAGAAUGUUAUCACGGGAGACACACGGCGGGUGCUAACGUCCGUCGUGAAGAGGGAAACAACCCAGACCGCCAGCUAAGGUCCCAAAGUCAUGGUUAAGUGGGAAACGAUGUGGGAAGGCCCAGACAGCCAGGAUGUUGGCUUAGAAGCAGCCAUCAUUUAAAGAAAGCGUAAUAGCUCACUGGUCGAGUCGGCCUGCGCGGAAGAUGUAACGGGGCUAAACCAUGCACCGAAGCUGCGGCAGCGACGCUUAUGCGUUGUUGGGUAGGGGAGCGUUCUGUAAGCCUGUGAAGGUGUGCUGUGAGGCAUGCUGGAGGUAUCAGAAGUGCGAAUGCUGACAUAAGUAACGAUAAAGCGGGUGAAAAGCCCGCUCGCCGGAAGACCAAGGGUUCCUGUCCAACGUUAAUCGGGGCAGGGUGAGUCGACCCCUAAGGCGAGGCCGAAAGGCGUAGUCGAUGGGAAACAGGUUAAUAUUCCUGUACUUGGUGUUACUGCGAAGGGGGGACGGAGAAGGCUAUGUUGGCCGGGCGACGGUUGUCCCGGUUUAAGCGUGUAGGCUGGUUUUCCAGGCAAAUCCGGAAAAUCAAGGCUGAGGCGUGAUGACGAGGCACUACGGUGCUGAAGCAACAAAUGCCCUGCUUCCAGGAAAAGCCUCUAAGCAUCAGGUAACAUCAAAUCGUACCCCAAACCGACACAGGUGGUCAGGUAGAGAAUACCAAGGCGCUUGAGAGAACUCGGGUGAAGGAACUAGGCAAAAUGGUGCCGUAACUUCGGGAGAAGGCACGCUGAUAUGUAGGUGAAGUCCCUCGCGGAUGGAGCUGAAAUCAGUCGAAGAUACCAGCUGGCUGCAACUGUUUAUUAAAAACACAGCACUGUGCAAACACGAAAGUGGACGUAUACGGUGUGACGCCUGCCCGGUGCCGGAAGGUUAAUUGAUGGGGUCAGCGCAAGCGAAGCUCUUGAUCGAAGCCCCGGUAAACGGCGGCCGUAACUAUAACGGUCCUAAGGUAGCGAAAUUCCUUGUCGGGUAAGUUCCGACCUGCACGAAUGGCGUAAUGAUGGCCAGGCUGUCUCCACCCGAGACUCAGUGAAAUUGAACUCGCUGUGAAGAUGCAGUGUACCCGCGGCAAGACGGAAAGACCCCGUGAACCUUUACUAUAGCUUGACACUGAACAUUGAGCCUUGAUGUGUAGGAUAGGUGGGAGGCUUAGAAGUGUGGACGCCAGUCUGCAUGGAGCCGACCUUGAAAUACCACCCUUUAAUGUUUGAUGUUCUAACGUUGACCCGUAAUCCGGGUUGCGGACAGUGUCUGGUGGGUAGUUUGACUGGGGCGGUCUCCUCCUAAAGAGUAACGGAGGAGCACGAAGGUUGGCUAAUCCUGGUCGGACAUCAGGAGGUUAGUGCAAUGGCAUAAGCCAGCUUGACUGCGAGCGUGACGGCGCGAGCAGGUGCGAAAGCAGGUCAUAGUGAUCCGGUGGUUCUGAAUGGAAGGGCCAUCGCUCAACGGAUAAAAGGUACUCCGGGGAUAACAGGCUGAUACCGCCCAAGAGUUCAUAUCGACGGCGGUGUUUGGCACCUCGAUGUCGGCUCAUCACAUCCUGGGGCUGAAGUAGGUCCCAAGGGUAUGGCUGUUCGCCAUUUAAAGUGGUACGCGAGCUGGGUUUAGAACGUCGUGAGACAGUUCGGUCCCUAUCUGCCGUGGGCGCUGGAGAACUGAGGGGGGCUGCUCCUAGUACGAGAGGACCGGAGUGGACGCAUCACUGGUGUUCGGGUUGUCAUGCCAAUGGCACUGCCCGGUAGCUAAAUGCGGAAGAGAUAAGUGCUGAAAGCAUCUAAGCACGAAACUUGCCCCGAGAUGAGUUCUCCCUGACUCCUUGAGAGUCCUGAAGGAACGUUGAAGACGACGACGUUGAUAGGCCGGGUGUGUAAGCGCAGCGAUGCGUUGAGCUAACCGGUACUAAUGAACCGUGAG
rnacentral:rRNA from 1 species